UCAUUAUUACAUAAUAAAUAUAUAAAAUGACAAUAAAUGAUGUGGUAUUCAUAUUUCAAUCAGAAGACGGAGAAAAAUGGGGUUUAAGUCCACUCGACAGAAACUAGGUAUUUUGGCAUUAACACAUGGUCCAAUUUUAUUUCAAUAAUUUGCUUGUGCGUAUGGGUCAUUAGCAAUGGAAGGAAACUGGAGUUCGCAGAGAAAACCCUCGAAGGAUGAACGUGCUACCCUACUCCUUGCCACGUACAACUGGGGAUUUGAAACCACACCAGUUCACUAAAUGGCAGACCUUAUGAUACAGCGCGCACAUACUAACCAUUCACCCCCCCCCCCCUUAUUUCAAACAACAAAAUUAAAUGUAUUGAUACAAAUAUAUAUCUAUGGAUACAAAUAUAUCUGUACAAAUGUAUAUAGAUAGAAUAAUCGUAUAGAUAAAGAAAAAUUAAAAUCCCCGGCUACAAUCCAACCAGGGAAUAGCGGGAGUGUAGACGAUCUGGGACCUAGCUCUCCAAACAAAUUACGCUCCUGAAGCAAAAAGAAAGAGUAAAUCGGUGCUGCCUGUUGUGUGUAUUAUAUGUAAAAAACGUGACAGAUUUGUCACUGUUGGAGAAAAUAGGAAGAAGGGUGUAUUAACACAGACUCAGACCCAAACAGGCUCAGGUAGGCCUAAUGUUAAUAUUAUGUUACUUACUAAAUUUAUAAUUAUUACUAAUAAAUAUUAAAUAUAUUCAUCCUACAGUUUUUAAUUAUUGUGUUGUUGUUUUUGUUGUAAAUGGAAUCAGAAGUGCUACUGCAAUCACUGUAAAAUUGUUAUGAAGCUAGCCAGUAAAGCCCUUUACCCCAUUUGUUGAUUUGGCACAGUCAUUGGUUAAAGUGUUGCACAUUUGCUUGCACAAGGGAUGAAACAUAGAGAAGUUAACUUGUUUUUUAUUUUCUUGGCCCACUUGUAGGUGCCUUGCUAAGACGAUCUGUCUCUAGACCAUUUCCGCUCACACAAAGGAUCUGAACUAAACCGCAUGCCAGAGUUGACCAGCCAGGUACAUGUACAUGUAGGCCUCAAAGUGACAUUCCCUCCCCCACCCUUGAGCACAAACAACAUUCAACGCUAUAUGGUGUAUAAUUUGUUUGCAAAUUUGUUUGUAGGCCAACUGUUGAAAGCUGCUGAAUUGAAAGAGGAUGAAGAUAUUUUAAGGCAUAUCAGAGGGCAAGAUUGUGUGGCCAUUGAGGUCAGAUAUCACCAAAAAUGUUAUAGGCAAUAUACAUGUACUGAAUUUCUUAGACAGUUAUCAGAAAGCAAAGAUGACUAGCCCUCCGUCGAAUAUUAAACCACAUACAAUAUAUUCUGUGAAGAUGUCAUAAGAGAAAGAAUCAUAAAUGGCCAGCAAAGUUGUCUUGUACAGACAGAGAGAGAGAGAGAGAAAUGGGGUUUAACGUCCACUCAACACAAACUAGGUCAUUUUGGGACUAACAUACGGUUUCAAUUUUAUUUCAAUAAUUCGCUUGCGCGUAUGGGCCUUUAGCAGUGAGAGGAAACCGGAGUGCCCGGAGGAAACCCACGAGGUUGAGAAGACGCCUCUAUCUCCAUGCCACAUACGCUCACACCUGGGAUCAAAGCCACAGCCACAAGCCAGAGGUGACCGACCAGCUAGAGGUCGAAGCGCGGCACUCUAGGCCAUCCCAACCCCCCUUUCUUGUACAGACCUGUGCAUGUGUAGUCAAUGUGAAAAUGAAAAAAAACUGUUAAAGAGACCGAAUUUGAUGUUAAUACAUUUAGUGACAGUGAUGAUGAUAAUGAAGAUUAACUUUGAUGACAUUUGAUGUGCAGAGUAACUGUUUAAUUUUGAUUUUCAAUGAUUGUUUCACUUUAAUAAAUAAUUUCACAACUGUU